rnacentral:rRNA from 1 species
UACGUAGGGUGCAAGCGUUGUCCGGAAUUAUUGGGCGUAAAGAGCUCGUAGGCGGUUUGUCGCGUCUGCUGUGAAAUCCGGAGGCUCAACCUCCGGCCUGCAGUGGGUACGGGCAGACUAGAGUGCGGUAGGGGAGAUUGGAAUUCCUGGUGUAGCGGUGGAAUGCGCAGAUAUCAGGAGGAACACCGGUGGCGAAGGCGGGUCUCUGGGCCGAUACUGACGCUGAGGAGCGAAAGCGUGGGGAGCAAACAGG